GAUGAAGAACGUAGUGAAAUGCGAUAAGUAAUGUGAAUUGCAGAAUUCAGUGAAUCAUCGAAUCUUUGAACGCACAUUGCGCCCCUUGGUAUUCCAUGGGGCAUGCCUGUUCGAGCGUCAUUUGUACCUUCAAGCUUUGCUUGGUGUUGGGUGUUUGUCUCGCCUCUGCGUGUAGACUCGCCUUAAAACAAUUGGCAGCCGGCGUAUUGAUUUCGGAGCGCAGUACAUCUCGCGCUUUGCACUCAUAACGACGACGUCCAAAAGUACAUUUUUACACUCUUGACCUCGGAUCAGGUAGGGAUACCCGCUGAACUUAAGCAUAUCAAUAAGCGGAGGA
rnacentral:misc_RNA from 1 species